CUCGACUAGAGUUUAUUUGUGAAUCUCGUGAAAACUCUUUUUUAGUAUUCACACUUACUUUGGCCAAAGACUUUCUGAACUCAAUCUCAUAAAUCACAUAGGACUUCUCCUUUUCUACCAAGGUCGAUAGAUCCCAUCUAGGUGCACCCUACUCCAAAUAGCGAACCUCAAUCUACUGAAGCCAACAUACACAGCAAGGAUCCGAAUAGCUAGGAACCAAAAAAAUAUACAGUCAAACCCAGUAGCCUCACUGCAAAUAGCCAAUGACACCACAGGUCAAAGAACCACUCACACCACUGC
rnacentral:lncRNA from 1 species